rnacentral:rRNA from 1 species
CACGUAGGGUGCGAGCGUUGUCCGGAAUUAUUGGGCGUAAAGAGCUCGUAGGCGGUGUGUCGCGUCGGCCGUGAAAACCUGCAGCUUAACUGUGGGCUUGCGGUCGAUACGGGCAUCACUGGAGUUCGGCAGGGGAGACUGGAAUUCCUGGUGUAGCGGUGAAAUGCGCAGAUAUCAGGAGGAACACCGGUGGCGAAGGCGGGUCUCUGGGCCGAUACUGACGCUGGAGGAGCGGAAAAGCCGUGGGGAGCAAACAGG